UACGGGGGGAGCAAGCGUUGUUCGGAUUUACUGGGCGUAAAGGGCGCGUAGGCGGUCGUGACAAGUCACUUGUGAAAUCUCCGGGCUUAACUCGGAACGGUCAAGUGAUACUGUCGGACUAGAGUACAGAAGGGGCAACUGGAAUUCUCGGUGUAGCGGUGAAAUGCGUUGAUAUCGAGAGGAACACCUGCGGCGAAGACGGGUUGCUGGGCUGAUACUGACGCUGAGGCGCGAAAGCCAGGGGAGCGAACGGG
rnacentral:rRNA from 1 species